UACAGCCAUAUCAUGUUGAAACACUAGUUCCUGUACAAUCAUCAAAGUUAAACAAUGUCAAGCCUGGUAUGUACUUAGAUAGGCGACCCUUUGGGAAUACUAGGUGCUGUAAU